rnacentral:rRNA from 1 species
CAGCAGCCACGGUAAUACAGAGGGUGCGAGCGUUAAUCGGAUUUACUGGGCGUAAAGCGUGCGUAGGCGGCUUCUUAAGUCGGAUGUGAAAUCCCUGAGCUUAACUUAGGAAUUGCAUUCGAUACUGGGAAGCUAGAGUAUGGGAGAGGAUGGUAGAAUUCCAGGUGUAGCGGUGAAAUGCGUAGAGAUCUGGAGGAAUACCGAUGGCGUAGGCAGCCAUCUGGCCUAAUACUGACGCUGAGGUACGAAAGCAUGGGGAGCAAACAGGAUUAGAUACCCCAGUAGUCCCCGUCUCUUAUAC